AAAGUAAUAUUAUUAUAUUGAUGGAUUUCAGUUGAUUGCCGCUCUGGACAUUGGUGGACCUCAAAGGCGGAUAACACAACAAAUCGAAGUCGUACAAAACGAACAUCGCAACCACACUACGAAGGAAAAAUUGGAAAAAGAGGACUUCCUGGACAAAAAGGAUCGAAGGGUGACCCAUUACUUGGCAUCAGGGAGAUAGAUCGAAUAAUCCUGACCAUCGCCGACGAGAUUUGUCCAACUUAUUGUUAAACAACAAACUAUGUGCUCAUCUUUUGAAUCCGAACAGUUCAUGUUUGAUACUAAAAUGGAUGUUACUCAUGUCAUUAGGAAACUUUAGGUUAUUUAGAUUAGAAAAAUAUGUGUUCAUUUUAAUUUUGGAAUUAGCGUUUUAAAUGUAAUAAACAGAUUUUAAACAGUUU